rnacentral:lncRNA from 1 species
UUUAGUUUCUAGAGAACACAUAUUUAACGCCAACAUUAAAAAAAAAAUUCCCUUGUUCCUAAACAACUUCAGAUAACAGGACCAGACUUCACAUGUCUCUAAUUUUUGUGGUAAUGAACAAAUUGUAUCAGAGAGGAAAAAAGGAAAAACUUAGUCCCAGCUCUGCUCACCUCUGAAAUCCACAAAUCUUCACCGAGCAAAACUGAUAGAAUAAGGAUGCAGCAAAGUAAGUUAUUCAUUAUUAUAUUACUGAGAUUCCCAGUAAAAAGGAGCUAUGCAUAUGAAUCAGGAUACUGAAGUUGGCUUUUGAUAUAGUCGCUCCUAUUUAUGAUACUAAUGAGUAAUGAUUGAUGUUGACCCCUCCCACCACCACCAUGACUAGUGCCAACAGGAGCCUACCUCUGCUGAUCUGUGUCAGAGAAUGGACCUUUGAUCUGGGGCAAAUGCACUUCUAUAAUCAGAAUUGACAUGUAGAAUUGCAGUUGAUUCUCACAUUUGGACUUCUAAUCAGAAUCUGCUUAGGCACUCACAUUUGGACUUGAUCAGAUACCAAGAGUAUAGGACACAAAAAAGAUAUUACUACAAAUUGUUUCCACAUAUAUCUAUCAUUUUCAUCACUUGAUUUUUUUAGCCACAUACUUGAUUGAUACCCUAAUCUCCAAUCUGAAUAACUUCCUUAGCCACAUACUGAAGUUGCCACCAUUUAACAAGUUCCUCAAGAGUAAGGUUUUGUCAGCAGGAAGUAAACAAUUGCAAGAUUGCUUGUUUCAUUCAAGGAUCAUCAGGCACCAGGUUGCCUAUCAAGGCAAGUGACGCCCUUAUAAGAGUAAAUUGACACGCUUAUGCAUCAAUUUCACUCCAAUUUUUUGUUUAUCG